rnacentral:rRNA from 1 species
GACGAACGCUGGCGGCGUGCUUAACACAUGCAAGUCGAACGGUGACCCAGGGCUUGCCCUGGUGAUCAGUGGCGAACGGGUGAGUAACACGUGGGCAACCUGCCCCUGACUUCGGGAUAACUCCUCGAAAGAGGAGCUAAUACCGGAUACGACCACUUCGGACAUCCGAUGGUGGUGGAAAGUUUUUCGGUCAGGGAUGGGCCCGCGGCCUAUCAGCUAGUUGGUGGGGUAAUGGCCUACCAAGGCGACGACGGGUAGCCGGCCUGAGAGGGCGACCGGCCACACUGGGACUGAGACACGGCCCAGACUCCUACGGGAGGCAGCAGUGGGGAAUAUUGCGCAAUGGGCGAAAGCCUGACGCAGCGACGCCGCGUGAGGGAUGAAGGCCUUCGGUUGUAAACCUCUUCAGCAGGACGAAGCGAAAGUGACGGUACCUGCAGAGAAGCACCGGCUAACUACGUGCCAGCAACCGCGGUAAU